GAUGAAGAACGUAGCGAAAUGCGAUAAGUAAUGUGAAUUGCAGAAUUCAGUGAAUCAUCGAAUCUUUGAACGCACAUUGCGCCCGCCAGUAGUCUGGCGGGCAUGCCUGUUCGAGCGUCAUUUCAACCAUCAAGCCCCAGGCUUGUGUUGGGGACCUGCGGCUGCCGCAGGCCCUGAAAACCAGUGGCGGGCUCGCUGUCACACCGGGCGUAGUAGAUUUUAUCUCGCUCAGGGCGUGCUGCGGGUUCCGGCCGUUAAAAAGCCUUUUUUACCCAAGGUUGACCUCGGAUCAGGUAGGAAGACCCGCUGAACUUAAGCAUAUCAAUAAGCGGAGGA
rnacentral:misc_RNA from 1 species